UUCGUGAUGAUUAGAAACUUAACGCAAAAUAAUGAUUAUGGACAUGAUCAUAAACUGUGAACAAUCUCUGAACGAAUCUUUU
rnacentral:snoRNA from 1 species